GAUGAACGCUGGCGGCGUGCUUAACACAUGCAAGUCGAACGAUGAAGCCCAGCUUGCUGGGUGGAUUAGUGGCGAACGGGUGAGUAACACGUGAGUAACCUGCCCUUAACUCUGGGAUAAGCCUGGGAAACUGGGUCUAUUACCGGAUAGGAGCGCCUACCGCAUGGUGGGUGUUGGAAAGAUUUAUCGGUUUUGGAUGGACUCGCGGCCUAUCAGCUUGUUGGUGAGGUAAUGGCUCACCAAGGCGACGACGGGUAGCCGGCCUGAGAGGGUGACCGGCCACACUGGGACUGAGACACGGCCCAGACUCCUACGGGAGGCAGCAGUGGGGAAUAUUGCACAAUGGGCGAAAGCCUGAUGCAGCGACGCCGCGUGAGGGAUGACGGCCUUCGGGUUGUAAACCUCUUUCAGUAGGGAAGAAGCGAAAGUGACGGUACCUGCAGAAGAAGCACCGGCUAACUACGUG
rnacentral:rRNA from 1 species